AAGCAACACUCUAUGACAGAUUACUGAAACUGAUACAAUUUGAGCUUGCUAUAGCAAGAAAGUGUAACCUAUUCCAGUGUUCUCUCUUCCAUGAGACAAGCUGUUAUAUAGGCUUAAGCAGU
ensembl:snoRNA